rnacentral:lncRNA from 1 species
GUUAAGUCUUGUGUGUUGGCAAGUUUCGUGAAGUGAGUCGGAGUCUUGAAGAAUCGGUGUGUGUCGUCGACGAUUGAAGAAUUCAAGAUUUCGAAGAAGUUGGAAAAUAACUCACGAUAUGAAUCACGACGUAAAGGUAAAGUUUUAAUUCAUGUUAUGGUGAUUCAUGCUUAAUUAUAGGCAUUAGAAUCAUAUAAUCAAAGUUUAGUUGAUUAGAAAAUGCUUCGGAACUUUGCGGAACCCAGAACGGUGCAAAAUCCGAAAAAUUGC